rnacentral:rRNA from 1 species
GAAUUCGCCCUUAGAGUUUGAUCCUGGCUCAGGACGAACGCUGGCGGCGCGCCUAACACAUGCAAGUCGAACGAGCGAGAGAGAGCUUGCUUUCUCAAGCGAGUGGCGAACGGGUGAGUAACGCGUGAGGAACCUGCCUCAAAGAGGGGGACAACAGUUGGAAACGACUGCUAAUACCGCAUAAGCCCACGACCCGGCAUCGGGUAGAGGGAAAAGGAGCAAUCCGCUUUGAGAUGGCCUCGCGUCCGAUUAGCUAGUUGGUGAGGUAACGGCCCACCAAGGCGACGAUCGGUAGCCGGACUGAGAGGUUGAACGGCCACAUUGGGACUGAGACACGGCCCAGACUCCUACGGGAGGCAGCAGUGGGGAAUAUUGCACAAUGGGGGAAACCCUGAUGCAGCGACGCCGCGUGGAGGAAGAAGGUCUUCGGAUUGUAAACUCCUGUUGUUGAGGAAGAUAAUGACGGUACUCAACAAGGAAGUGACGGCUAACUACGUGCCAGCAGCCGCGGUAAAACGUAGGUCACAAGCGUUGUCCGGAAUUACUGGGUGUAAAGGGAGCGCAGGCGGGAAGACAAGUUGGAAGUGAAAUCCAUGGGCUCAACCCAUGAACUGCUUUCAAAACUGUUUUUCUUGAGUAGUGCAGAGGUAGGCGGAAUUCCCGGUGUAGCGGUGGAAUGCGUAGAUAUCGGGAGGAACACCAGUGGCGAAGGCGGCCUACUGGGCUUUAACUGACGCUGAAGCACGAAAGCAUGGGUAGCAAACAGGAUUAGAUACCCUGGUAGUCCAUGCCGUAAACGAUGAUUACUAGGUGUUGGAGGAUUGACCCCUUCAGUGCCGCAGUUAACACAAUAAGUAAUCCACCUGGGGAGUACGACCGCAAGGUUGAAACUCAAAGGAAUUGACGGGGGCCCGCACAAGCAGUGGAGUAUGUGGUUUAAUUCGAAGCAACGCGAAGAACCUUACCAGGUCUUGACAUCCGAUGCAUAGUGCAGAGAUGCAUGAAGUCCUUCGGGACAUCGAGACAGGUGGUGCAUGGUUGUCGUCAGCUCGUGUCGUGAGAUGUUGGGUUAAGUCCCGCAACGAGCGCAACCCUUAUUGCCAGUUACUACGCAAGAGGACUCUGGCGAGACUGCCGUUGACAAAACGGAGGAAGGUGGGGAUGACGUCAAAUCAUCAUGCCCCUUAUGACUUGGGCUACACACGUGCUACAAUGGCGUAAACAAAGGGAAGCGAGACCGCGAGGUUAAGCAAAUCUCAAAAAUAACGUCUCAGUUCGGAUUGUAGUCUGCAACUCGACUACAUGAAGCUGGAAUCGCUAGUAAUCGCGAAUCAGAAUGUCGCGGUGAAUACGUUCCCGGGUCUUGCACUCACCGCCCGUCA